GAUAUCAGGUAAGAGUACCCACUGGAUUUAAGCAUAUAACUAAGUGGAGGAAAAGAAACUAACAAGGAUUCCCCUAGUAACGGCGAGUGAAGCGGGAAGAGCUCAAUCUUAAAAUCUCUAUAUUAAAUUGUAGUGAAUUGUAGUCUAUUGAAUUGGUUUUGCAAUGAACAUAUGGAAAAGUCCCUUGGAAGAGGGCAGCAUAGAGGGUGAUACUCCCGUCUUUGCCGUAUGAUUUAUUGUAUUAAUUCCUCUUUCAUUGAGUCGAGCUGCUUGGGAAUGCAGCUCAAAGCAGGUGGUAAAUUCCAUCUAAAGCUAAAUAUGUGUGUAAGACCGAUAGCGAACAAGUACCGUGAGGGAAAGAUGAAAAGAACUUUGAAAAGAGAGUUAAACAGUACCUGAAACUGCUGAAAGGGAAUCGGAUUGUUGCCAGUGUGAUCCAAUACAUAUUUCAAUAGUGAGUAAUCGUUGUUGCCCUGUGUGUUGGUGUGAUGUUAGGGUCAAUUGAUUUUGCAAGAAAUUGGUAAGAGGGAGGUAGGUGAUAUUUUCGGAUAUGACUAUUAUAUUCUUUUGCUAGUGUUGUGAAUGAGAUUGAGGAAACAAUGUGCAAUUUAUUUACUUUUCAUCUUUUUUGACUUAUUUAUUUUACAGC
rnacentral:rRNA from 1 species